GGAUGAAGAACGCAGCGAAAUGCGAUAAGUAAUGUGAAUUGCAGAAUUCAGUGAAUCAUCGAAUCUUUGAACGCACAUUGCGCCCGCCAGUACUCUGGCGGGCAUGCCUGUUCGAGCGUCAUUUCAACCCUCAAGCCCUGCUUGGUGUUGGGGACCGGCUCCCGGGGGCCCGCCUCGCGCGGGCGCCCCUGCCGCCCCCUAAAUCGAUCGGCGGCCACGACGCGGCCCCCCCUGCGCAGUAACAUACCACCUCGCAGGCGGGAGCACGCCGCGGCCACUGCCGUAAAACGCCCAACUUCUCAAGAGUUGACCUCGAAUCAGGUAGGAAUACCCGCUGAACUUAAGCAUAUCAAUAAGCGGAGGA
rnacentral:misc_RNA from 1 species